rnacentral:rRNA from 1 species
UACGAGGGGGACUAGCGUUGUUCGGAUUUACUGGGCGUAAAGGGUGCGUAGGCGGGUCUUUAAGUCAGAGGUGAAAUCCUGGAGCUCAACUCCAGAACUGCCUUUGAUACUGAGGAUCUUGAGUUCGGGAGAGGUGAGUGGAACUGCGAGUGUAGAGGUGAAAUUCGUAGAUAUUCGCAAGAACACCAGUGGCGAAGGCGGCUCACUGGCCCGAUACUGACGCUGAGGCACGAAAGCGUGGGGAGCAAACAGG